rnacentral:lncRNA from 1 species
UGAAUCCCGGAUGUGAGUCCGCCGGUGACGGCGGUUCGCGCAUGCGCAGAAGGGGCGCUUGGCUCGUCAGAAUGACGCAGGCCGGCAUUGGCCAAUAGAAAUGGGCUACGUCACCCGAGAGGCUAUAAAAGGCAGGCUCGCAUCCGGCUCGGGGUCUUUCCGCCAUCUUGAAGAAUGCAGAAGAACCUCCAAUAAAGCGUGCUUCAGAAGAAUCCUGAGUGUUGCGUGCUCCUUGCUGGCGAGGUGCGCGUGACAAGUGGUGCCGAAACCCGGGAAGCGACGACCAUCAUCGCCGGCAUCAGCGGAGACCCCUGACUUCAGGAGGAUUCAGAACUGAGCAGCAGGAGGGGAGGAUCCACCAACUUUCCGAGAGAAAGAAAAUGGGAGAAAUGUGGGUGAUUGUGGCAGAGCCCGGUUGCACCUGGAGAACCAUCUCUGACCCUUGCUACAGAGCCUAGAACCCAAGGAGGUUUCUCCGUCGUGACACAGGGUACCCUUGUUUCCCACUGGAGGAACUUAUUUGAAGACGAAACUUCAAAAGUAUUCUCAAAUAGAGCACAAAGAAAUACCAGGAGAAAAGAGACACAAAGCAAGGACAAGUUUGAGAACACCAAGAAAGAGGAAGGAGGAGGAGGAGGGAGUGGGAGAGGACAAGGAAGAGGCAGAGCAAGUGUGGAAUCUGAAGAUACUCCCCAAAAUAGAAGGCAAGGGCGCCUCUGGGAGUCUGAGCAUGGAAAGUGUGACAGCAUCUCCUGCCAAAGUACCCAGAAGAGUCAAGAUCAAAGGGACAGAGCCUUUUGAAAUCACUUUCAUGAUGAACGCUCAGGUGACAAAAAUCCAACAAAGAAAAUGUUUGCUGAGGAAUAUUUCUCAAAGUGAGAACAGAUGUCACAGUGCACUAGUUAUCUGAUGGUGUGCAAAUGAAGGAUGUUGUGUCCCCUUUCCCUAUUUUUUUUUUUUGUCUUUGCUCUUACUGGAAAACUGGGACCUAUUAUCUUUAAAAUAUUAACUAUUUAUUUCACCCAAGUUUCACAAGGAAACACUACGUGAGAGGAAGCCCUUGUCUUUCAAAAUCACAGACCACCCAUUUAGUGCAUGGCACUGUGACCCUAAAACCAACCUCUAGUGAAGAGUGUUUGUGGAGCUCAGCCCUUGGAGGGUUCAGCCUGGACCAGCCCCUCCUCGGCUGGCAGGGACAGUAAGCCAAGCAUAUGAUGCAGACCAGGAAUUUCCAACAGAUACUUAAUAACCAAGUCCCGAAAGAAAGAAACUUCAACUCUCCCUUUUUGGCAGAACACUUUAUAUAUUCUUGUAUAUUUUAAAACUAUUUACAGUUCAUAUGGUUUCCAGACCUGCUGACCAGAAUCGAGGGCACUUUUCCUCCACCUGAGUCUCUCUAUGCCCUGUGGGAUUUGUAGGCAGCUAGCCAGGAGCACAUUUGGUCUGGAAAUAAAGGCUUCUGCUUAGCAGUGUGCAGGGGAAGCAACCUGCAUGAGCACACACGCCUGGACAGGGCACAGUGGGUUCCACCCCGGCUCUCAGUGGCCCAGGCCCCCACAGUUUGGUUUGCUGGGCAUGCUGGCCCUGGGGAGGCUGCUGACGAAAUAGCCAGCUUUGCUUCAAGCACCAUCCCAAGCUCUGCUGACUUCAAAGCAAAGUUGAUUAGGUGAGGAAGGGAACCUAUGCCUCCCUUUCUUUAAAUGUCAGGCUCUGUCCCAUGCAUGUCACGCCACAGCCAUGCUGGAUGACUCCCAGUCACCCCGAAUUCAAGCAGCAAUGACAGCAGACAAUGACAUGCACAAAACUCAAAAUAUACAGACACCUCCCUUUGUCCUGGUGUUGGCUGCAGGG